AUAUAUAUAUAUAUAGAUUAGACCGUUGGUUUUCCCGUUUUAAUGGUUUUACACUAGUAAUUCUGGGGCCCUUUAUUGCUUGUUGUUCUAUGACAGCCAAGGCUCCGUGUUGAAGGCCGUACAUUGACAAAUAAUGGUUUACUUUUUAUAAAUUGUUAUUUGGAUGGAGGGUUGUCUCAUUGGCACUCACACCACAUCUUCCUAUAUCUAGUUGAUGUAUAAAAAAACAGACACUAGUGUGAUGUAUUACGUCAAAAUGGAAACUAGGCGUAUAACGGUAAAUCAUGCAUGUUUUUAAACUUGGCAUUACGUGAUGAUGUGGAUAGUCACCAUUCAUGUUAAAUGUAAUGAGUUUUAAAAGGUCACUUUAAUUUUGUCUUCAAUAUUGAAUAUAUUAUACAGAUAUAUCAUGUAUAUGAUUGUAAAACCUAAACGUGACCAGGGUAUAAAUAUAAUGCACUUUUGGUCUUCAUCCGACUGGAAGCGAAAUCAUUUAGAAGAAGAAAGAAAUGGGAAAUACGCAGUAAUCUAUAAUCUUAUGAUGAAAUUUGAACUUUAAUUGUGUGUAUAUACUGCUUAUAGAAAAGACAUAGAAAGACGACUGGUUUGAUAAAUAGGGACAAAUCUGCUGGUUUAUUUUUGAUGGAACAAUGUUUUCAAUAUAUUUGUUUUGUAACGGCAGUUGUACAUGGAUGAAUAUUCGUCUUUUUAGCAUGUGAAAUCACUUUGAAUAUCUUAAUAUUAUAUCGAAAGCUAGACAUAAAGGACUGAUUGUUUUGAAUGUAUUUUGCAAUCAAAUCUGCUUUAUCUUGGGAAAACAUGAGUAAGAAACCUUAAUACUUCAAUUGCGUAAUAGCAUAUAAACAAUACAGUGUAAUUUAAAAUUGACGGUUAAAAAUUAAUGCAUGGG
rnacentral:lncRNA from 1 species